UUACGGCCAUAUCACGUUGAAACAACGGUUUCCGUACGACUACCGAAGUUAAGCAACGUCGAGGCUGGUCAGUACCUCGAUGGGCUACCGCAUCGGAAUACCAGGUACU
rnacentral:rRNA from 1 species